rnacentral:lncRNA from 1 species
GGAAGAUGCGGACCUUCGCGCCAGGCCCUGGUCCGGAGCCGGCAGUCGCCGAGCCGCAGGGCCGAGACCCCGCAGACAGUGCUGACCCUUCCUGGGAUCGAACUGUCCUAGGACUGACGGGCGGAGCUGACGGUGGCCCGUCCCCACCGGCUGCACCCUCUGCAGCAAGCCUACGGUCCCUCCAGUGACCUUGCUGAAGUCCUCCCUGCCCGCCUCUAACUGUUGUUUUUGAGGGGGUCUCGCUCUGUAACCCAGGCCGGCCUCCAACUCCUGACUAUCCUCCUGCUUCGGCCUCCUGACUGCUGGGCUCACAGGCAUGCACCACCAUGCCGUUUCUCUCGAGGCUUUUUUUUUGUUGUUGUUCCUGUAAAUCUGAGCUUCCUUUUCACUUCCUUUUCUAUUGCACUAAUGAUGCACGCUCGCCAGUGACACUUGGGCCUUGUGCGAGCCGGACGGAAACCUUUCCCACCAGCUGGACAGGCGGCAGGCGGCAGUUCGGCUUCGGCGCUGCUGACCCGAGUGACUCCUGCGACCACACACCCCAAGCCUUGCUGUUUGUGCCAACACGACAGAGGCCCUGCUAAGCAGGGCGUGGUGGUGCUCACCUCACCCCAGCCCUCUGGAGGCCGAGGCCGGAGCAUCUCCAGGAGCUCUAGGCCAGCCUGGGUUCCAUAGUGCGCUGAAGGCCAGAUUGAACUACAUAGCGGAACCUUGUCUCAACAAACGGACAAACAGACAAACACCCGCCCUGCUGCACAGUGGGUCACAGGCAGCUAACGUGCAUGCGCUGGUGAAUCACCUUGUCUGGGGGCGGCGGAGGUGACUUCGGGCUGGCAGGCUGACUGGAGCUCAGGUUGCGCCUGUGGAUCCGCUCGAAGAUGCUGAGCGCCAGCAGCCAGGCCCGGCGGCUGCCCAGAUGGGCCACCAGCAGCUGCGCCAUCUCCAGGGCCCCGGCGGCCUCCAUGCGCCCCCGGGGGAUUCCGGCCUCCGUCCCUGCAUGGAGCUUGAACCUCUUCAUCUCCACAGCCUCCAGCUCCUCCAGGAAGGCACUCAGGUGCUCAAGCCCGGAGCCUGAGGUUGCCCACCUGGCCCAUCAGUUAGAAGCUGAGACCCAGGGGCCUGCACACCCACCAGGAUUGGGUCGUCGGGGAGUGGUUUUCAUUUUUCUUUUAAUUGUGGUAAAAUACAUGCUACAUAAAAGUCACC